AUCCAGCUGACGAAUCCCAAAUAAGACGAAACGCAGGUCCCGGAU
rfam:Schistosoma mattheei strain Denwood, Zambia genome assembly, scaffold: SMTD_scaffold0000124